rnacentral:rRNA from 1 species
CCACGCCCUAAACGAUGUCUACUAGUUGUCGGGUUUUAAUUAACUUGGUAACGCAGCUAACGCGUGAAGUAGACCGCCUGGGGAGUACGGUCGCAAGAUUAAAACUCAAAGGAAUUGACGGGGACCCGCACAAGCGGUGGAUGAUGUGGAUUANUUCGAUGCAACGCGAAAACACCUUACCUNCCCUUGACAUGUACGGAAGGCCGAAGAGAUUUGGUUGUGCUCGAAAGAGANCCGUAACACAGGUGCUGNAUGGCUGUCGNCAGCUCGUGUCGNGAGAUGUUGGGUUAAGUCCCGCAACGAGCGCACCCCUUGUCAUUAGUUGCUACAUUNAGNUGAGCACUCUAAUGAGACUGCCGGNGACANNCCGGAGGAAGGUGGGGAUGACGUCAAGUCCUCAUGGCCCUUAUGGGUAGGGCUUCACACGUCAUACAAUGGUACAUACAGNGGGNCGCCACCCCGCGAGGGGGAGCUACUCCCAGANNGU